rnacentral:lncRNA from 10 species
CCACGCAUGGCACAGGCUCCUCCUGGGCCAAAGCUGUUCUCCUGGCCCGGCCUCAGAGGAGGCACGUUCCGUGUGGCUUCUCCACCUUUGUGGUUGGUCUGCAGUGUUGUUAGUUGGCAGCUGGGGACCUAUAAGAGGCUGACCCCAGGAUCUGUGCAAAAGACAUGAGAAUGGGACAUAGGAACAGAGGGUGAAAGUAGCAAAGAAACAACACAACAUGGAUGGAACAAGCCAUUUGCAAGGUUGUGAGUUUGUUUAAGAGUUGCUAUGAUGGUGUAAUAUGUAAUUAGACUUUCCAAAGUGAAAGAAAAUGUGAUUUAUUUCAAAAAGAUUGUGACCGUUUGAAGUAAUGGAGACAAGAAGGAACCAAAGAACAGGAAUCUGCUGGUAACCCCAGCACUGGCUUUUAGAGGGGUUCCUUGACCAGCCAUGGGAAUAUUGGUUCUGUUCAGCUGGUAACCCCUGUGGCAGGGACAGGGACAUCACGUUUGCACAGCUCCAUGGCACUGUCCACUGGGAUGCCUCAUGCCUUCUCUUCUAAUGCUAGGCCCACCCAGCAGCAGGAACCCCUGAAGCAGUAUCUGUUCCUCCUGGAAGGGAUAGGGCUCAUUGAAAGCCACACAUUGGCCCCAGCCUGCUCCAUCAGAUUCUUUGGAGUUAGUCUUGAGAACCUGGUCACCUCAGGAGGCAUGGAUCCAAUCAGCUAAAGUUGGGGCCUGCUUGGUAUUUUCUGACACCACUUCUGACACCAAAUGUGUGCUUUUUCCUGACACCAGCCGAUUCUCUGACACCCGCUGGGCAUCCAACAAUUCAAACAGAUUCUAACACUAACUUCCAGAGUUAGCACAGAUCUCACAGGGUAAGGCCUCAGUCCCACAAGACUGCCCCCCUUCAGAUGCUAGCUACAAGUGAGGUAGUGACCCCACUUCUGCCUGGUCAACUACAAAUUUG